rnacentral:rRNA from 2 species
AGAGUUUGAUCCUGGCUCAGGAUGAACGCUAGCGGCAGGCUUAACACAUGCAAGUCGAGGGGCAGCAUAAUGGAUAGCAAUAUCUAUGGUGGCGACCGGCGCACGGGUGCGUAACGCGUAUGCAACCUACCUUUAACAGGGGGAUAACACUGAGAAAUUGGUACUAAUACCCCAUAAUAUCAUAGAAGGCAUCUUUUAUGGUUGAAAAUUCCGAUGGUUAGAGAUGGGCAUGCGUUGUAUUAGCUAGUUGGUGGGGUAACGGCUCACCAAGGCGACGAUACAUAGGGGGACUGAGAGGUUAACCCCCCACACUGGUACUGAGACACGGACCAGACUCCUACGGGAGGCAGCAGUGAGGAAUAUUGGUCAAUGGACGCAAGUCUGAACCAGCCAUGCCGCGUGCAGGAUGACGGCUCUAUGAGUUGUAAACUGCUUUUGUACGAGGGUAAACGCAGAUACGUGUAUCUGUCUGAAAGUAUCGUACGAAUAAGGAUCGGCUAACUCCGUGCCAGCAGCCGCGGUAAUACGGAGGAUUCAAGCGUUAUCCGGAUUUAUUGGGUUUAAAGGGUGCGUAGGCGGUUUGAUAAGUUAGAGGUGAAAUUUCAGGGCUCAACCCUGAACGUGCCUCUAAUACUGUUGAGCUAGAGAGUAGUUGCGGUAGGCGGAAUGUAUGGUGUAGCGGUGAAAUGCUUAGAGAUCAUACAGAACACCGAUUGCGAAGGCAGCUUACCAAACUAUAUCUGACGUUGAGGCACGAAAGCGUGGGGAGCAAACAGGAUUAGAUACCCUGGUAGUCCACGCAGUAAACGAUGAUAACUCGUUGUCGGCGAUACACAGUCGGUGACUAAGCGAAAGCGAUAAGUUAUCCACCUGGGGAGUACGUUCGCAAGAAUGAAACUCAAAGGAAUUGACGGGGGCCCGCACAAGCGGAGGAACAUGUG